AGUGAACGCUGGCGGCAGGCCUAACACAUGCAAGUCGAUCGAGCGGCUGACGGGUGAGUAAUGUCUGGGAAACUGCCUGAUGGUGGGGGAUAACUCCUGGAAACGGUAGCUAAUACCGCAUACCAUCAGAUGUGCCCAGAUGGGAUUAGCUAGUAGGUGGGGUAACGGCUCACCCAGGCGACGAUCCCUAGCUGGUCUGAGAGGAUGACCAGCCACACUGGAACUGAGACACGGUCCAGACUCCUACGGAGGGCAGCAGUGGGGGAUAUUGCACAAUGGGCGCAAGCCUGAUGCAGCCAUGCCGCGUGUGUGAAGAAGGCCUUCGGGUUGUAAAGCACUUUCAGCAGGGAGGCGUUACCCGCAGAAGAAGCACCGGCUAACUCCGUGCCAGCAGCCGCGGUAAUAC
rnacentral:rRNA from 1 species